rnacentral:rRNA from 1 species
UACGUAGGCAGCGAGCGUUGUUCGGAGUUACUGGGCGUAAAGCGUGCGUAGGCGGUUUUGUAAGUUUGGUGUGAAAUCUCCCGGCUCAACUGGGAGGGUGCGCCGAAAACUGCAAGGCUGGAGUAUGGGAGAGGUAGGCGGAAUUCCUGGUGUAGCGGUGAAAUGCGUAGAUAUCAGGAGGAACACCUGUGGUGUAGACGGCUUACUGGACCAUGACUGACGCUGAGGCACGAAAGCGUGGGGAGCAAACAGG